rnacentral:rRNA from 1 species
CAGUAGCCACGGUAAUACGGAGGGGGCUAGCGUUAUUCGGAAUUACUGGGCGUAAAGCGCACGUAGGCGGCUUCGCAAGUCAGAGGUGAAAGCCUGGGGCUCAACUCCAGAGUUGCCUUUGAGACUGCGUCGCUCGAAUCCGGGAGAGGUGAGUGGAAUUCCGAGUGUAGAGGUGAAAUUCGUAGAUAUUCGGAAGAACACCAGUGGCGAAGGCGGCUCACUGGACCGGUAUUGACGCUGAGGUGCGAAAGCGUGGGGAGCAAACAGGAUUAGAUACCCGUGUAGUCCCUGUCUCUUAUAC